rnacentral:lncRNA from 1 species
UGUACGUUGUGAGCAAGCUGUUAAACAAACCCGCUUUACUGCUGCUGUCGCUUUUACAGGCACCUUCAAAAUUAAACAUACAUGAGUGUACGAAUUCAGCUCACCUUAAUUCACGUCCGUUGCUUUCGUUGUUCGUAGAUCAUGUGCGUACCUUUGCAACCGUAAUCGACAUUGUAAAAACAGCAGGAAGGCAGAUGAUACAAAUACUGUGUCUGCCUUACUUGUUGUCUGUGCAGUUUUUAUAAUAUCAAGCAACUCCACACUCGUGCUGUUUGAGCAAAACAAUCUUCGUUUUUUUUUUCUUUUUUGUUUUUUUUGUUUUUGUUUUUUUUUUCUUGUAGGAGGAUUAGCUUCUAACUGCGGCAGUGACGUUGUGUGUUGUCCUCAGGAACGCUUGCCGUGUGCACAUUUGUAUAAUUUGUUUCACUGUGCUGCUGCUGUCUUUACAGCUUCUGCUUAUUUCUUUUGGCCGCACCUUAUAUUUGUUGUCUUUGUCAACAUCUGACCUGUUUCUGCCUUGUUGAAAGCAAGUGGCCACAAGUACUGCUUAGUUUGCUCAGUCUAAACCUGGCUGCUGUGUUUCAGCUAAAUCUGCUUUUCCUGUGUCCAGUGGCCUUGUCGCUCAAUUAGUGCUUGCCAAUUUCCAUUACCCUGCAACCCACUAAAAAUAUGAAAUUUUAGACUAUGAUGCCUCCCCUCUCUUCCCUUGUCCUUCUGACCUUUCACUCUGCUGCAAGCUUUUAGAUUUCAAUACUUAAAUGAAUAAUACAAAAAUUGAUGCUACCAUAUUAUUUGAUGGCUAUCAUGAUGGCAAUAAUUUAGGUGAACCUGAAACUAAAUGA